rnacentral:rRNA from 1 species
AUGAACGCUAGCUACAGGCUUAACACAUGCAAGUCGAGGGCAGCAUGGUCUUAGCUUGCUAAGGCCGAUGGCGACCGGCGCACGGGUGAGUAACACGUAUCCAACCUGCCGUCUACUCUUGGACAGCCUUCUGAAAGGAAGAUUAAUACAAGAUGGCAUCAUGAGUCCGCAUGUUCACAUGAUUAAAGGUAUUCCGGUAGACGAUGGGGAUGCGUUCCAUUAGAUAGUAGGCGGGGUAACGGCCCACCAAGGCGACGAUCAGUAGGGGUUCUGAGAGGAAGGUCCCCCACAUUGGAACUGAGACACGGUCCAAACUCCUACGGGAGGCAGCAGUGAGGAAUAUUGGUCAAUGGACGAGAGUCUGAACCAGCCAAGUAGCGUGCAGGAUGACGGCCCUAUGGGUUGUAAACUGCUUUUAUAAGGGAAUAAAGUGAGUCUCGUGAGACUUUUUGCAUGUACCUUAUGAAUAAGGACCGGCUAAUUCCGUG